AUUGAACGCUGGCGGCAGGCCUAACACAUGCAAGUCGAGCGGAUGAAGGGAGCUUGCUCCUGGAUUCAGCGGCGGACGGGUGAGUAAUGCCUAGGAAUCUGCCUGGUAGUGGGGGAUAACGUCCGGAAACGGGCGCUAAUACCGCAUACGUCCUGAGGGAGAAAGUGGGGGAUCUUCGGACCUCACGCUAUCAGAUGAGCCUAGGUCGGAUUAGCUAGUUGGUGGGGUAAAGGCCUACCAAGGCGACGAUCCGUAACUGGUCUGAGAGGAUGAUCAGUCACACUGGAACGGAGACACGGUCCAGACUACUACGGGAGGCAGCAGUGGGGAAUAUUGGACAAUGGGCGAAAGCUUGAUCCAGCCAUGCCGCGUGUGUGAAGAAGGUCUUCGGAUUGUAAAGCACUUUAGGUUGGGAGGAAGGGCAGUAAGUUAAUACCUUGCUGUUUUGACGUUACCAACAGAAUAAGCACCGGCUAACUUCGUG
rnacentral:rRNA from 1 species